GGAAGUAAAAGUCGUAACAAGGUUUCCGUAGGUGAACCUGCGGAAGGAUCAUUAUUAUUUGGAUCGAAAUUUACUUCUAGUAUUGGUCACGACUAUUUUGGAGUAAAUUUUUUACCAAAUAGUUUUAACAUUUACUUCCUAUAUUUUCAUAUAGGAGCGAUAACAAAAAUAUUUAAAAUCCCACCCUUAAAUAUCUAUACGUAUUUUAAAUCGAUAAAUUAAAAGAUCACUUUCAACAACGGAUCUCUUGGCUCUCGCAUCGAUGAAGAACGUAGCGAAGUGCGAUAAGUAAUGUGAAUUGCAGUAUUCCGUGAAUCAUCGAAUCUUUGAACGCAUAUUGCACUUUCUGGUAUUCCGGAAAGUAUGCCUGUUUGAGGGUCAGUUAAGUAAAAUCGGUGUUGUUGCCGCUUUGGUGACGCGUCGGAGUCGAGUCGUCUUCGGUUAAGUGACUUAAAAUUUUAUAUGAUUUUCGAACGUAUUUAAAUUUAUUUGAACGUUUGAUAUCGAAUGCUUAUUAGGUUCGGUCAUCCUCAUGACUCGCGCCUAUAAUUUUUCAUUAAAUGACCUCAAAUCAGGUAAGAAUACCCGCUGAACUUAAGCAUAUCAAUAAGCGGAGGA
rnacentral:rRNA from 1 species